ensembl:lncRNA
AACACAUACAUUCUAAGUGAUUUCAAUGGGUCUUUCUCCAUUGUGAUUGUUCUAUACUGUUCAAUUAAACUUGAACCGAAAAAGUAUUUCUGCAAUCAUCAAUUUCUGCAUUUUCUGCACUCAUUUGAGAUCCUUUCCGCACUGCUACAUAGGCUGCACGAUAUGGGAAAACAAAUUGAGGCCUUGCUUUUUACCAAAUGUUGCAAUUGCAAUUUCCCCAGAUCAAAACACUGUUUUGGAAUCAUGGAAACAUAAUGAUUAUUAUAAUUCUAUAGUUUGAAUAUAAUAGUGGGCAAUUUGAAUACAAUGUUGUUUGACAUGACAACAAAUGAAAAUGCCAGGCAGGAGUCAGGCUGUAUAGCUAGCUACGUCUGCUCUAACUUAAUACAUUUAUUAGCUAGCUAGCUAGCUAACUAGCAAUUAGCUUUAGCGGCUAACAUGAUUUAGCCAAAACUUGCUAAAGAAACACAAACUAGCUCUUUGCCGAUGUAAGAAACACAACCUAAUAGUGUAAUUAUAGAACCCUUGUGGAUUUAUAUUAAGACGCAAAGUGGAAACAGCAUCGUUGUCAUCAACAUUGUUGCAGGUGUUGCAUUGACUAUGCAGACUGAACGCAAGUGUCUUGUGGUCGAGCAACAACAAAUGCGCUCCUUGAGUGACAGGUUGCGGGGCUGUGUGGAAAGCGGCAUGGAGAGAGAGAGAGACGAAAGAGAUGACUCAAGUAGCAGAGUAAAUGAUAAAAAUGGGUGUUACGCACGGCAUAUCACAUUUAACGAACCAAACAUUCAAAUACUGUUGUAGAAGGUAAAGUAAAAACCCAAACCGGUCCGUGCAUCAAUACCGGUAUAUAGUUAAAUAUGGUAUACGGCCCAGCCCUAAGCUAAGGUAGGUAAAACAACCAUAUAUCAUUGCAAGUAACACUUUCCUCGAAAAAGGUAGAGGUUUUCAUCCAAUUGGUGACAGAUUGUCAUGGGAAUAUUCAAAAAUAUGCAUAAAGAAAAUCUGCAUAUUUUACCACCACUGGUGUUUCCACUAAACUGACGUUGCAGAUACAAAUCAGUGCGUGAUGACGUUAGUGCACACAAAACAUACGUUUUCGCUUAAGUUGUCAUGUACCGAAUACAAAUCUAAAGUUCAAUGUGUUUCCUUCGCGUUUCAACUCUACCGAUAGUUUUUGUCACAAAAACUGUUGGUUAAAUAAUGUGUGUGCGUAAGGAGAGCGUGUGGCAAUAAGCAGAAUUGCAAAGUUGCAAGAGGCAAGACAUCCAAGUGUGUGGUGUGUGUGUGUUUGUGUGUGUGAGGGCACCUGCAGAGAAUGCAAGCUUGCAGAAGUCCUGGAAGAAGGCUUUCAAGGCCAACAGACACUGCAGGGUGGAGUUCAUGUACAGUAGCAGCUGUUGCUGAGGUUUGGUCGCCUGGGACGGAGAGACGGAUCAAGGGAGCGUGAUUUCUCUGUGUCCUUGAGAGGUUUUACUUACAGCGUGUGUGUGAUGUCACACUGCUUACCUCAGGCAGACGAGCUGCUGGCGGGUGAGGUUGGGGCUGGAGCCGAGGUGAGGGUCUCUCUCCCUCGGUCUGCUCCACUUGUGCCUGGACACUGGGGCAGUGUCACCCCAUGAUGACCUCUAGUCAUUGCCCUGAGGAAACUGAUACAUUCACAAACACAGGAAGGGGCCGUGAU